rnacentral:lncRNA from 1 species
UUAACCUCUAGCCAAAAUAAUUUAAUUACACAUUAUUAAAACAAAAAUAAAAUAGAAGUUUGGAAAGAUUAAACCGAAAGAGGAGGAUGCUUCAGUCUGUCCGUGCGCCUGCCUUCCAGCUCUCCCUGACCUCACUGCCAAAGGGCAGCGUUCUUCCCUUCUUAUUUUCUUAUUCUGUCUGCGCCCUGCUCCGUCAGCUUCCACGCUGACUGCUCUCUCCUCUGGUUUCGCAAGUGUCUCCCUCUCUCUCCCCGCAGUCUUUCCGUUUUUCCUCUGCCUAAGGCAGCUUACUCUCUCUUCUUCACGCAGCUUCUUGCUGCUCUCUCGUUCCUGCGUCUCUGCGAGCUGCC